rnacentral:rRNA from 1 species
UACGUAGGGUGCGAGCGUUAAUCGGAAUUACUGGGCGUAAAGCGUGCGCAGGCGGUUUUGUAAGCCAGGUGUGAAAUCCCCGGGCUCAACCUGGGAAUGGCAUUUGGGACUGCAAGGCUCGAGUGCGGCAGAGGAGACUGGAAUUCCUGGUGUAGCAGUGAAAUGCGUAGAUAUCAGGAGGAAUACCGAUGGCGAAGGCAGGUCUCUGGGCUGACACUGACGCUCAUGCACGAAAGCGUGGGGAGCAAACAGG